CAGCGGGAUACCCCGGAGAAAUCCGGCCUAAUACCGCAUGUGGCCGAGGGGAGGCAUCUUCUUUCGGCCAAAGGAGGCGACUCCGGAGACGGAUGGGCAUGCGUGACAUUAGCUUGUUGGCGGGGUAACGGCCCACCAAGGCGACGAUGUCUAGGGGUUCUGAGAGGAAGGUCCCCCACACUGGUACUGAGACACGGACCAGACUCCUACGGGAGGCAGCAGUGAGGAAUAUUGGUCAAUGGGCGAGAGCCUGAACCAGCCAAGUCGCGUGAAGGAUGACGGCCCUACGGGUUGUAAACUUCUUUUGUCAGGGAGCAAUUGAGUCCACGUGUGGGCUUAGCGAGAGUACCUGAAGAAAAAGCAUCGGCUAACUCCGUGCCAGCAGCCGCGGUAAUACGGAGGAUGCGAGCGUUAUCCGGAUUUAUUGGGUUUAAAGGGUGCGUAGGCGGAAUAUCAAGUCAGCGGUAAAAAUUCGGGGCUCAACCCCGUCGUGCCGUUGAAACUGAUGUUCUUGAGUGGGCGAGAAGUAUGCGGAAUGCGUGGUGUAGCGGUGAAAUGCAUAGAUAUCACGCAGAACUCCGAUUGCGAAGGCAGCAUACCGGCGCCCAACUGACGCUGAAGCACGAAAGCGUGGGUAUCGAACAGGAUUAGAUACCCUGGUAGUCCACGCAGUAAACGAUGAAUACUGAUUGUCCGGAGGGAUUGACCUCUGGGUGAUACAG
rnacentral:rRNA from 1 species